GGGUCAGUAGGUUGGUCGUGCCACCGGUACGUACUGGUCUAACUGAUUCCUCCUUCCUGAAGAACCGUAAUGCCAUUAAUUUUGUGUUGCGGGGAAACAGGACUGUUACUUUGAAAAAAUUAGAGUGUUUAAAGCAAGCUAACGCUUGAAUACAUUAUCAUGGAAUAAUGAAAUAGGACGAUCGAUCCUAUUUUGUUGGUUUCUAGGAUUGACGUA
rnacentral:rRNA from 1 species